UACGGGGGGAGCAAGCGUUGUUCGGAUUUACUGGGCGUAAAGGGCGCGUAGGCGGCCACCGCAAGUCGACUGUGAAAUCUCCGGGCUUAACCCGGAAAGGUCAGCCGAUACUGCGGGGCUAGAGUGCAGAAGGGGCAACUGGAAUUCUCGGUGUAGCGGUGAAAUGCGUAGAUAUCGAGAGGAACACCUGCGGCGAAGGCGGGUUGCUGGGCUGACACGUGACGCUGAGGCGCGAAAGCGUGGGGAGCAAACAGG
rnacentral:rRNA from 1 species